GAUGAACGCUAGCGUCAGGCUUAACACAUGCAAGUCGAGGGGUAUAAGUAGCUUGCUAUUUAACGACCGGCGCACGGGUGCGUAACGCGUAUGCAACCUACCUUUUACUGGGGAAUAGCCAGAAGAAAUUCUGAUUAAUACCCCAUAACAUUAUGAUUCAGCAUUGGAUUAUACUUAAAGUUUCGACGGUAAAAGAUGGGCAUGCGUUUUAUUAGUUAGUUGGUAAGGUAACGGCUUACCAAGACUACGAUAAAUAGGGGUCCUGAGAGGGAGAUCCCCCACACUGGUACUGAGACACGGACCAGACUCCUACGGGAGGCAGCAGUGAGGAAUAUUGGACAAUGGGCGGUAGCCUGAUCCAGCCAUGCCGCGUGCAGGAAGACGGCCCUAUGGGUUGUAAACUGCUUUUAUACAGGAAGAAACCUUCUCACGUGUGAGAAGCUGACGGUACUGUAAGAAUAAGCACCGGCUAACUCCGUGCCAGCAGCCGCGGUAAUACGGAGGGUGCAAGCGUUAUCCGGAAUCAUUGGGUUUAAAGGGUCCGUAGGCGGACUAUUAAGUCAGAGGUGAAAUCCCACAGCUCAACUGUGGAACUGCCUUUGAUACUGAUAGUCUUGAGUUAUAAGGAAGUAGAUAGAAUAUGUAGUGUAGCGGUGAAAUGCAUAGAGAUUACAUAGAAUACCGAUUGCGAAGGCAGUCUACUACUUAUAUACUGACGCUAAGGGACGAAAGCGUGGGGAGCGAAUAGGAUUAGAUACCCUGGUAGUCCACGCCGUAAACGAUGGUUACUAGCUGUUCGGACUUUGGUCUGAGUGGCUAAGCGAAAGUGAUAAGUAACCCACCUGGGGAGUAUGUUCGUAAGAAUGAAACUCAAAGGAAUUGACGGGGGCCCGCACAAGCGGUGGAGCAUGAGGUUUAAUUCGAUGAUACGCGAGGAACUUUACCAGGGCUUAAAUGUAGAUUGAUAGGACUAGAGAUAGUUUUUCCUUCGGGCAAUUUACAAGGUGUUGUAUGGUUGUCGUCAGCUCGUGCCGUGAGGUGUCAGGUUAAGUCCUAUAACGAGCGCAACCCCUGUUGUUAGUUGCCAGCGAGUCAAGUCGGGAACUCUAACAAGACUGCCAGUGCAAACUGUGAGGAAGGUGGGGAUGACGUCAAAUCAUCACGGCCCUUACGUCCUGGGCUACACACGUGCUACAAUGGUAGGUACAGAGAGCAGCCACUGGGCGACCAGGAGCGAAUCUAUAAAACCUAUCACAGUUCGGAUCGGAGUCUGCAACUCGACUCCGUGAAGCUGGAAUCGCUAGUAAUCGGAUAUCAGCCAUGAUCCGGUGAAUACGUUCCCGGGCCU
rnacentral:rRNA from 1 species